GGUGCUGAAUAAUUCCUAAGUCCAACCAAAUCACGGGGGAAAGCCAAACGGUAAAAAGACCAUAGGCGCCUAUUUCCCCCUUCUCUUGGAAAAUAAGCACUCUAGAUUGGAUUCUUGCCAGAUAAUUCCUUAAAAUCGGUCCGUCCAAGGAUACUCAUAUAACAGCCUGCAAAUAGUGUACUGACACCUAGGCUUUCCACUAUAGAUAGUGUGAACUAGCACUACAUAGAAUUAUCAACUAUUGCAAAGAGACACAGCCCCCUCCCCUUCGCAGCCCCUUUCUCUGUGCGACAUAGCCCCUUUGAAAACCCACCCCUUCGCAGCUCACAGUCUCUUCCCGUCACAGCUCGGAUCCCCUUGCCCAUCGCGACACAACCCCUGGUUUUUUCAUGGUCAUUUGGUUCAGAAGAAUGGAAAAGCAGUGAUUUUUUUGUAAGUUCCUGUUGUGGGUUUGCAACAAAUUGCUUUUCAGUAUGGGAGAUCUGAGCGAAGAAUAAGGGUAGAGAUAUGGAACCUCCGAAGGGGGUUUUGGCUACUGUGUGAAACUUUAUUUGCUUUCUUCCUUCAGCGGGCUUGUGCUCCUGGGCACCAUUAAAGGUCAGUGCCAAAUUGCCAAUAUGUAUAAUUCUCUUCUUCUUCUUAUUUUAAAAAAAUUUGCUCUUUUUUUCCUCUCUCUCUCUCUCUCUCUCAUGAUGUUCUGGAGUACAUGAAAUUAAUAAAUCAAAAUGAUAGCUUCAGAAUUCUGCUUC